GUUGAACGCUGGCGGCAUGCCUUACACAUGCAAAUCGAACGGUAACGGGCCUUCUGGUGCCGACGCGUGGCGAACGGGCGAGUAAUACAUCCGAACGUGCCCGAUCGUGGGGGAUAACGAGGCGAAAGCUUUGCUAAUACCGCAUACGAUCUACGGAUGAAAUCAGGGGACCGCAAGGCCUUGCGCGGACGGAGCGGCCGAUGGCGGAUUAGGUAGUUGGUGGGAUAAAAGCUUACCAAGCCGACGAUCUGUAGCUGGUCUGAGAGGAUGAUCAGCCACACUGGGACUGAGACACGGCCCAGACUCCUACGGGAGGCAGCAGUGGGGAAUUUUGGACAAUGGGCGCAAGCCUGAUCCAGCCAGGCCGCGUGCAGGAUGAAGGCCUUCGGGUUGUAAACUGAUUUUGUACGGAACGAAAAGCCUUCUUUUAAUACAGGAGGGUCAUGACGGUACCGGAAGAAUAAGCACCGGCUAACUACGUG
rnacentral:rRNA from 1 species